AGAGUACUGAGUAGAGUUCCCUGUGCUGUAUGAUUUAAGUGCAAACAACAGGACUUGGGUAGUCUACCACGUGACAUAAGCAGGAGAAAAGUGAAGGUGCCUUGGACUGCACUACUACAGGAACAAGCUUUGGAAUGAGUGGUGUGGUUUUUUAAAGAAGUCAGCCUGGUCUGCUCACCGCUAAGAACCUCUGCCUGGUGGCGUCAGCUUAUUGGACUGAAAGUCAAGUUUAUAGUCUCGAUUUCCUGAAAGCCUGAUGUCUCCUGGGCCUCAGGCUCACUUUCAUGAUUUACAGGCAAAUCUCAGAUCAUCAGAGCUGGAAAUCACUCAAAAAUUCUGCAAACAUUCUCCACCCUUCAAUUAGCAAAUAUGAGGCUUAUGGCAUCCAGAGAAAGUGAAUGUUGGUCCCACAGGAAAAAAAAAAAAAAAAGGUGGAUUCUUUACUGCUGAGCCAAUUGGGUGCUGGAGAGGGGAGCUGCAUCCCAGCAUGAAGGUUGGAGGUCCAGUUUCUGGGGGAGCUCAGUGACAAGGACAGAGGUCAGCUAGACUGACCCUCUGUAGAGGAC
ensembl:lncRNA